AGAGCACCUGACUUUUAAUCAGGGUGUCCCGCGUUCGAGUCGCGGAUGGGUCA
rnacentral:tRNA from 1 species